UGGGGUGAGAGGGUUAUCUAACCCUACUCAUUGAGUUUGGCGCUCACCCCUGCCUACCUAUUUUUUUCCAGGUAAUAGAAGAAAGAAAAAUCCUAUGGAGUUGAGACAUAAGUAUAGAGGACUGUAAACGAUAAAUAAAUGAUGAUGUAAAUGUACAGGUAGAGUUCCGCAAUUGUAUUCUAGUGGGUUGUAGAUGAACUGUACUAGUGAUACAUAAUUGAAAUAAAUUAUUGGGCAUGUAUCCACAAUUAUGAAUAGUAAAUGAGACUUGCAUAAUAUAGGCUUACUACGGGCUUCGGGGGCCUUAAGCCCACCCAGGUCGUAGUGCCGGUCCGGUCCAUGGAAAUGGGUCGUGACAAAUAUAUUGUAAAUAGAAAUAUAAAAUAUAAAAUGUUGAUACAUUUAUAAUACAAAACUCAAACUCCAAUAAAUCUUUUGAAAAUAUAAUUAUAAAAUGUUAAUAUAAAAAUAUAACAAAUAGGAAUACUAUAAAUAAAAAAUGAAAUGUUAAUAUAAAAAAAAAGAAUAUAGCAUUUAUACUAUAUAUAAAUGUGGAAAUAUGAAGAAUAAUGAGAUUUUCGAUAGCGCC
rnacentral:lncRNA from 1 species